rnacentral:tRNA from 1 species
GGAUGAAUGACUGAGUGGUUUAAAGUGCCAGUCUUGAAAACUGGAGUAUUUAAAAAUACCGUGGGUUCGAAUCCCACUUCAUCCU